CCUACGGGUGGCUGCAGUGGGGAAUUUUGGACAAUGGGCGCAAGCCUGAUCCAGCAAUGCCGCGUGCAGGAUGAAGGCCUUCGGGUUGUAAACUGCUUUUGUACGGAGCGAAAAGGCUUCCACUAAUACUGGGGGCUCAUGACGGUACCGUAAGAAUAAGCACCGGCUAACUACGUGCCAGCAGCCGCGGUAAUACGUAGGGUGCGAGCGUUAAUCGGAAUUACUGGGCGUAAAGCGUGCGCAGGCGGUCUUGUAAGACAGGUGUGAAAUCCCCGGGCUUAACCUGGGAACUGCACUUGUGACUGCAAGGCUGGAGUACGGCAGAGGGGGAUGGAAUUCCGCGUGUAGCAGUGAAAUGCGUAGAUAUGCGGAGGAACACCGAUGGCGAAGGCAAUCCCCUGGGCCUGUACUGACGCUCAUGCACGAAAGCGUGGGGAGCAAACAGGAUUAGAUACCCCUGUAGUC
rnacentral:rRNA from 1 species